AAAAAUUUAGUUAAAUUAUAACAUUAGUUUGUCAAACUAAAAUUAUUUUAAAAAAGUAAUUUUUA
rnacentral:tRNA from 1 species